GGGCUCGUGGCGCAGUUGGCAGCGCGUCACCUCGGCAAGGUGAAGGCCGGGAGUUCGAAUCUCCCCGGGUCCA
rnacentral:tRNA from 1 species